UGGCACCUAAACUAAUACAAACGAGUCUGAAAAGAAAAAUAACCCAAAUCAACACUCAAAAUUGAAGAAGUUUUGAAAAAUUGAAGAACUCAUCGUCGGGCAAGGGCACCUACGCUCGUCGCCGGUCCAGGCUCGUCGCCGCCACGAAAUCACCCGCGAUCGCCGCCCCAUCUCAGGUAUUCUUCCGCCGCCACGAUCUUAGCAGCCAUGUUUGAGAUUGAAUCCUCUCAUUCAAAUACAUCAUUAUCAGGAACAUCCAUAUAAUCUUGCCCCCCUACAUACUCCUUGUCAUCAGCCACAAAAGAACCACCAUGCCACAUUCUAAGAAGAACAAUAAGGGCCAUUUCUGUAUGGAAAAGAAAAAAAAGAUAAUCAACUUGAGAACAACAAAACUCAUGGAAAAAUUCGAAGCCCAAAACUCUUGACUGACUAAAACUCAUAGAACAAAUCAUGGCACACGAGAUUAGAGAAGCCCAAAACGACAAAUACGAAACACAUCAGCAAAAUUCGAAGAACUUCGAAAAACAAAAGAUAAUGAAGAGAUUGUUUGGAAGAAUCAAGUUUUUACGCAAAGUAUAAUGGAGGUUAAUUUAAUCUGGAGUUGAGAAAAUAAAAACAAAAGAAGAAAAAAGAAAAUGUGUGCGUGUGUGUGGGAGAACAAACUCGCAAUGAAACACAAGAGAGAGAUAGUGAGAAAGGGAGGGGGAGGAGAGAGAGAGAGAGAUACCAGUGGCGAUGCACAGUGACAAGCUUCGACGGACGAUUCAGAGACGACCUUCGGAUUGAUUGGAUCGACUGGAAUGAUUUGGGAAUCAUUUUCUCUACUUCAAUUGAUUCCCGCGACAGCUUCAGAUUGAUUGUUCUUUCUUCUUCAAUUGCAAGCAUCGUGCGAGAGUUCCAUUCUAUACUUAGGGUAUUUUUUCUUAUUUCAUUUGGGGGAAUUCUCCACUUAGGGCUAAUGUGCCACAUAAAUAUUUGUAUUUUGUUUUUUAAAAGUUUAAUAAUGAUGAAAAUUCCAAGUGGAUUAAUAAAUCCACGUAUUAAUUUUUGGCAUGCCACGUCAACUUUCGGGCGUCGAAUUUUUUUUAGGGGACACAAUUGAAAAUAUGUUGGUAGGUUGGGUACCAAUUAGAUAUUAUCGAUAAGUUGUGACAUAAUAGAUAAUUCGGCCAAACGAUUGGACAUAAAGUGAUAUUUACCCUUAUUUUUAUUUGGGAAAAGGUGCAGAAUGGCCCCCGAAGUAGUAGCCCCUAUAGCGUAUAACCCCUCUUACUCACUGUGUGUGCAACUAAACCUCUGAACUCCGAGAAAAUGGUGCAAAUUCCCCCCUCUGACCUAACGUCGUUAAGUGUCCGUUAACGUUUGGGUUUAAUUGCACCCUCUACUUUAGGGGUGGAUCUGCACCUUAAUUUUAUUUUAUUUUAUUUUUUUAUAAUUUCAGCAACCCACCUCCGGCAUCAN
rnacentral:lncRNA from 1 species